rnacentral:rRNA from 1 species
AUGCAGGAAAAUGGUGUGAAUUGUGGUGUUGUAGAGUGGGUUGAUGGGCCUUGGCCUCCUGUUCUUCAGAGAUGUCUGUCCAAGCUACGGGAAAUGUUCCAUGAGCAGAACUGUGGAAGGGUACUUGACAAGGAGAAGUUUUAGAAGGAGUUGGCCAAGCUUAAGAUUGAAAAUGACAAGCUUUGCAUUGAGUACACCAAGCUUAUUGAUGAUGUAUCCAAGAUGUUUGAUUGGCAGGAUGGUAGGGUGGGGAAGGUGAACCAGAAACAAGUGGAGGAGGAAGAACUUGAGAAGAAGAGGAAGGAGAUAGAGGAGAAAGCUAUGAUGGAGGUGCAGAUGGAAAAGCUUAAACUUGCAAAAGAGUAG